AUUGAACGCUGGCGGAAUGCUUUACACAUGCAAGUCGAGCGGCAGCGCGGUCUUCGGACUGGCGGCGAGCGGCGAACGGGUGAGUAAUACAUCGGAACAUGCCCAGUCGUGGGGGAUAACACUUCGAAAGAAGUGCUAAUACCGCAUACGUCCUGAGGGCGAAAGCGGGGGAUCUUCGGACCUCGCGCGAUUGGAGUGGCCGAUGUCAGAUUAGCUAGUUGGUGGGGUAAAGGCCUACCAAGGCAACGAUCUGUAGCUGGUCUGAGAGGAUGAUCAGCCACACUGGGACUGAGACACGGCCCAGACUCCUACGGGAGGCAGCAGUGGGGAAUUUUGGACAAUGGGGGCAACCCUGAUCCAGCCAUUCCGCGUGAGUGAAGAAGGCCUUCGGGUUGUAAAGCUCUUUCGGCAGGAACGAAACGGCGAGCUCUAACAUAGCUUGCUAAUGACGGUACCUGAAGAAGAAGCACCGGCUAACUACGUGCCAGCAGCCGCGGUAAAAC
rnacentral:rRNA from 1 species